rnacentral:rRNA from 1 species
CCUACGGGAGACAGCAGUGGGGAAUAUUGGGCAAUGGGCGAAAGUCUGAACCAGCCAAGUAGCGUGAAGGAUGACUGCCCUAUGGGUUGUAAACCUCUUUUAUGUGGGAAUAAAAUGUUCUACGUGUAGGGGUAGUUAUGGACCAUAUCAAUAAAGAUUGGGCAACUCCGUGCCAGCAGCCGCGGGUAUACGGAGGAAUCGAGCGUUAUACGGAUUUAUUGGGUUUAAAGGGAGCGUAGGUGGUUUGUUAAGUCAGUUGUGAAAGUUUGCGGCUCAACCGUAGAAUUGCAGUUGAAACUGGCAAUCUUGAGUACAGUAGAGGUGAGCGGAAUUCGUGGUGUAGCGGUGAAAUGCUUAGAUAUCACGAAGAACUCCGAUUGCGAAGGCAGCUUACUGGACUGCAACUGACACUGAGGCUCGAAAGUGUGGGUAUCAAACAGGAUUAGAUACCCUAGUAGUC